rnacentral:rRNA from 1 species
CACGUAGGGCGCAAGCGUUGUCCGGAAUUAUUGGGCGUAAAGAGCUCGUAGGCGGUCUGUUGCGUCCGCUGUGAAAACCCGGGGCUUAACCCUGGGCUGGCAGUGGAUACGGACAGACUAGAGGUAGGUAGGGGAGAAUGGAAUUCCCGGUGUAGCGGUGAAAUGCGCAGAUAUCAGGAGGAACACCAAUGGCGAAGGCAGCUCGCUGGGACGUGACUGACGCUGAGACGCGAAAGCGUGGGGAGCAAACAGG